rnacentral:lncRNA from 1 species
CGUAGUGCGAGGGGAUCGUUUACCGGCUUCUAUAAUAUUACGGAUCAAAGAUGCAUCUGCUGGUUUUGACGCCAGGGGAACAAGAUCAUGAACCCACUUUGUGGCGCAUUGGGAUUGUAAUGUAACGCUACACGACUUUUUGUUUCUAUGCGGUCGGAAAGAUAGUGCGAAAUAACCAGGGUAGUGUAGGGAAAUUUUCCAGGGAUUUGGGAUUCCUUCACGAAGUUGGUAAAUUUUCGGUAUUGGGUGAGAUAACUCUUAACCGUAGAAGCAGCUCGAGAAUGCAGGACUUCAGAAAUUAUUUGUUUCCUUAUAGCCAUGACGGCCACUUCCCAACAAGGAGUACAAACUAGAUCCUGAAAAACACAAAUCUACAGUUAGGGAAAAGUCUCCAAACAUGUUUUAAAACGUGAUGCACUCUAUAGCCACCCAGCAAGUGCAGUCCCCUGCUACACAAUGAAACAGGCAUCUGCCUACUCUUUAGCCACCCGGCAGAGAGUAACUCAUUAGUGAAUAAGAUAUAAUAGGCAUUCUCCUUUUCCCAAGCCAUCCGGUUAGAACUUGACGCAACAACCGCCAAAAGUAACAGUUAACGCAAGAUAAGUAUAUUUAUUCAUUAAAUUAAUUACACACUAACAACCACACCUACAGUAUCAUUAACAGGAAUUCAUGAACAAGAUUAGAAAUAAGUUUAAAUAACCGACACACUUAAGAACAGACUACGAGAAAUUUAAACGAAAAGCUGUGAGAUACCCUGUCCACGAGCUGGAACCAAGAAGGGACUUACGAUUAUUGCCAUGCAUUAAAACUGAGUUACCAACAAAUACAAUGUAAUCCUUGAUGGAGGCAGAAAACCGGGAAAUAAGAAGAGGCCAGAGAAGGGCA